ACCAGACUCCUACGGGAGGCAGCAGUGGGGAAUAUUGCACAAUGGGGGAAACCCUGAUGCAGCGACGCCGCGUGAGUGAAGAAGUAUUUCGGUAUGUAAAGCUCUCUCAGCAGGGAAGAAAUAGCGACCUUUGGGUCGCCAGACGGUACCUGAUUAAGAAGCCCCGGCUAACUACGUGCCAGCAGCCGCGGUAAUACGUAGGGGGCAAGCGUUAUCCGGAUUUACUGGGUGUAAAGGGAGCGUAGACGGCAGCGCAAGUCUGAAGUGAAAUGCCGGGGCUUAACGCCGGAACUGCUUUGGAAACUGGGCAGGUAGAGUGCAGGAGAGGUAAGUGGAAUUCCUGGUGUAGCGGUGAAAUGCGUAGAUAUUAGGAGGAACGCCAGUGGCGAAGGCGGCUUACUGGACUGUAACUGACGUUGAGGCUCGAAAGCGUGGGGAGCAAACAGGAUUAGAUACCCUGGAA
rnacentral:rRNA from 1 species